GAAAUGCGAUAAGUAAUGUGAAUUGCAGAAUUCCGUGAAUCAUCGAAUCUUUGAACGCACAUUGCGCCCUCUGGUAUUCCGGGGGGCAUGCCUGUCCGAGCGUCAUUGCGUACCCCUCAAGCACGGCUUGUGUGAUGGGCUGCGGCGUCCCUGACCUUAGGGGGACGAGCCCGAAAUGCAGUGGCGGCGUCGCGGUGAUCCGAUCAGCCCGAGCGUAUGGGGACUUCGUCACACGCUCGCGGCGCGGACCGACGCCUGUCUCAACGGUGAAUCUAUCUCGGUUGACCUCGGAUCAGGUAGGGAUACCCGCUGAACUUAA
rnacentral:misc_RNA from 1 species